rnacentral:rRNA from 1 species
GAUUAAGUUAUUAAGGGCGCACGGUGGAUGCCUUGGCACUAGAAGCCGAUGAAGGACGUUACUAACGACGAUAUGCUUUGGGGAGCUGUAAGUAAGCUUUGAUCCAGAGAUUUCCGAAUGGGGAAACCCAACAUGAGUUAUGUCAUGUUAUCGAUAUGUGAAUACAUAGCAUAUCAGAAGGCACACCCGGAGAACUGAAACAUCUUAGUACCCGGAGGAAGAGAAAGAAAAUUCGAUUCCCUUAGUAGCGGCGAGCGAAACGGGAAGAGCCCAAACCAACAAGCUUGCUUGUUGGGGUUGUAGGACACUCUAUACGGAGUUACAAAGGACGACAUUAGACGAAUCAUCUGGAAAGAUGAAUCAAAGAAGGUAAUAAUCCUGUAGUCGAAAAUGUUGUCUCUCUUGAGUGGAUCCUGAGUACGACGGAGCACGUGAAAUUCCGUCGGAAUCUGGGAGGACCAUCUCCUAAGGCUAAAUACUCUCUAGUGACCGAUAGUGAACCAGUACCGUGAGGGAAAGGUGAAAAGCACCCCGGAAGGGGAGUGAAAUAGAACCUGAAACCGUGUGCUUACAAGUAGUCAGAGCCCGUUAAUGGGUGAUGGCGUGCCUUUUGUAGAAUGAACCGGCGAGUUACGAUUUGAUGCAAGGUUAAGCAGUAAAUGUGGAGCCGUAGCGAAAGCGCGAGUCUGAAUAGGGCGUUUAGUAUUUGGUCGUAGACCCGAAACCAGGUGAUCUACCCUUGGUCAGGUUGAAGUUCAGGUAACACUGAAUGGAGGACCGAACCGACUUACGUUGAAAAGUGAGCGGAUGAACUGAGGGUAGCGGAGAAAUUCCAAUCGAACCUGGAGAUAGCUGGUUCUCUCCGAAAUAGCUUUAGGGCUAGCCUCAAGUGAUGAUUAUUGGAGGUAGAGCACUGUUUGGACGAGGGGCCCCUCUCGGGUUACCGAAUUCAGACAAACUCCGAAUGCCAAUUAAUUUAACUUGGGAGUCAGAACAUGGGUGAUAAGGUCCGUGUUCGAAAGGGAAACAGCCCAGACCACCAGCUAAGGUCCCAAAAUAUAUGUUAAGUGGAAAAGGAUGUGGCGUUGCCCAGACAACUAGGAUGUUGGCUUAGAAGCAGCCAUCAUUUAAAGAGUGCGUAAUAGCUCACUAGUCGAGUGACACUGCGCCGAAAAUGUACCGGGGCUAAACAUAUUACCGAAGCUGUGGAUUGUCCUUUGGACAAUGGUAGGAGAGCGUUCUAAGGGCGUUGAAGCAUGAUCGUAAGGACAUGUGGAGCGCUUAGAAGUGAGAAUGCCGGUGUGAGUAGCGAAAGACGGGUGAGAAUCCCGUCCACCGAUUGACCAAGGUUUCCAGAGGAAGGCUCGUCCGCUCUGGGUUAGUCGGGUCCUAAGCUGAGGCCGACAGGCGUAAGCGAUGGAUAACAGGUUGAUAUUCCUGUACCACCUAUAAUCGUUUUAAUCGAUGGGGGGACGCAGUAGGAUAGGCGAAGCGUGCGAUUGGAUUGCACGUCUAAGCAGUAAGGCUGAGUAUUAGGCAAAUCCGGUACUCGUUAAGGCUGAGCUGUGAUGGGGAGAAGACAUUGUGUCUUCGAGUCGUUGAUUUCACACUGCCGAGAAAAGCCUCUAGAUAGAAAAUAGGUGCCCGUACCGCAAACCGACACAGGUAGUCAAGAUGAGAAUUCUAAGGUGAGCGAGCGAACUCUCGUUAAGGAACUCGGCAAAAUGACCCCGUAACUUCGGGAGAAGGGGUGCUCUUUAGGGUUAACGCCCAGAAGAGCCGCAGUGAAUAGGCCCAAGCGACUGUUUAUCAAAAACACAGGUCUCUGCUAAACCGUAAGGUGAUGUAUAGGGGCUGACGCCUGCCCGGUGCUGGAAGGUUAAGAGGAGUGGUUAGCUUCUGCGAAGCUACGAAUCGAAGCCCCAGUAAACGGCGGCCGUAACUAUAACGGUCCUAAGGUAGCGAAAUUCCUUGUCGGGUAAGUUCCGACCCGCACGAAAGGCGUAACGAUUUGGGCACUGUCUCAACGAGAGACUCGGUGAAAUCAUAGUACCUGUGAAGAUGCAGGUUACCCGCGACAGGACGGAAAGACCCCGUGGAGCUUUACUGUAGCCUGAUAUUGAAAUUCGGCACAGCUUGUACAGGAUAGGUAGGAGCCUUUGAAACGUGAGCGCUAGCUUACGUGGAGGCGCUGGUGGGAUACUACCCUAGCUGUGUUGGCUUUCUAACCCGCACCACUUAUCGUGGUGGGAGACAGUGUCAGGCGGGCAGUUUGACUGGGGCGGUCGCCUCCUAAAAGGUAACGGAGGCGCUCAAAGGUUCCCUCAGAAUGGUUGGAAAUCAUUCAUAGAGUGUAAAGGCAUAAGGGAGCUUGACUGCGAGACCUACAAGUCGAGCAGGGUCGAAAGACGGACUUAGUGAUCCGGUGGUUCCGCAUGGAAGGGCCAUCGCUCAACGGAUAAAAGCUACCCCGGGGAUAACAGGCUUAUCUCCCCCAAGAGUUCACAUCGACGGGGAGGUUUGGCACCUCGAUGUCGGCUCAUCGCAUCCUGGGGCUGUAGUCGGUCCCAAGGGUUGGGCUGUUCGCCCAUUAAAGCGGUACGCGAGCUGGGUUCAGAACGUCGUGAGACAGUUCGGUCCCUAUCCGUCGUGGGCGUAGGAAAUUUGAGAGGAGCUGUCCUUAGUACGAGAGGACCGGGAUGGACAUACCUCUGGUGUACCAGUUGUCGUGCCAACGGCAUAGCUGGGUAGCUAUGUGUGGACGGGAUAAGUGCUGAAAGCAUCUAAGCAUGAAGCCCCCUCAAGAUGAGAUUUCCCAACUUCGGUUAUAAGAUCCCUCAAAGAUGAUGAGGUUAAUAGGUUCGAGGUGGAAGCAUGGUGACAUGUGGAGCUGACGAAUACUAAUCGAUCGAAGACUUAAUCAA